rnacentral:lncRNA from 1 species
AUGAAAACAUCUCAGGAGAGCAACUGUGCAUCUUGCAAUGCAAGAAAAAAACAAAAUGAAACAAAACAAAACAAAAAAACACAGGGCUCAUCCAUGCCGUUGUCCUUCCACAAAUACAAAGUGAAAGAGACAGACUUUUUAGAAAAACAGACCAACCUGAUGCAGCAGGACUUCUAUAACCAGAUGAGAGGCAGGUCCAGUCGCAGGGAGACUCAGGAACACUGCAUGUCAUUUGGCAAGUGUACUGUUCGCAAGUUGUCUAAAUGCUCCUUUCUGCGUCUGAAGAUAUUUAUCUUCUCCAAACAGUAUAGUAGGCAAUGUCACAUCACAAGGACUUUCACUGAGGAACACCAAGACUGCUCUGUGUUCUACCCGUCACCAAUGCUACGGAUCUGUAUGCAGACACAAGCUAAAUAUUAUCCACCUGCACUAGCACAGCAACCUUUUUGAUUAAAAAUAAUAAUAAUAAUAAUUUUGUUUUUAUUGUUGAGAUUUUUUUUCCCCACUUAAUUUACUUUCCUUUCUAAUCAAUGCUAUUACAUCUAAUUCCAAAUGUAGCCUGACACUUUUUGAGGUUUUGUAGAGCAUUAAGGCUAUAAAUACAGAAAAUAAGAUCUUGACUUAUCUCUGCCAAACUGGCCAUUCUCCAAAAAAAUCCCAGUAUGAGUGCUUCCACACUCCUAGGUUUUGCUUUUACUGUUUUCACCAUUACCACAUAUGUAUACACACAUUGUCUAAAUCUGAAAGGAGAAUGUGAAAUCUCUGAAAGGAGAGGGAAAACUCAAUGAAAAUUUGAAGAUGAACAAAAAGCCCAGCACAAAGAAAAUUGUUAAUUCUUAAACUUCGGGAAACGAAUGUUCCUCCUAUGUUUACUUUAAUAAAAAAACAGGAUUAGCAGUUCCUUCA